rnacentral:lncRNA from 1 species
AGACUAGAGCAACCUUAGAGACUCUUCUAGUCACCUUCCUCAUUGAGUUAGUCCAACCUCUCUUUGAGCCACCAAACAUCACAUCAUCUCCACUAAACCAUUAUUAAACUCGCUUUUAGUCGCAUCAAAGCCAACAAACUUAGUUUCCCACUAAUGUAGUAGAGGGAUAACCAAGGAUCAAUCCAAGGACUCAACUAUUAGUAAGUCUAAAGUGUAUGGUUAGAAUCUUGUAAUUAUUUACUUACUAACUACUAACUAAUUAACAAAGAAGGUGGGGAAAAGAAAUUAAACAAAGAAAUUAAAAAGAAAAGAAUAAAGAAGAUCAAAUCUNUUUUAAAAGAAAAGAAGAAAAUAAAAUGUAAAACAAAAAAAAAAAGUAAAGAACAAAGGCCUAAGCUAAAUUGCAAAAUUAGAACUGCAAAAGCAAAUACAAAUAUAAAAGAAAGACUACAAUGCCCUAAAAUCAAUCCUAACA